UCAUGGUUAAGUGGGAAACGAUGUGGGAAGGCCCAGACAGCCAGGAUGUUGGCUUAGAAGCAGCCAUCAUUUAAAGAAAGCGUAAUAGCUCACUGGUCGAGUCGGCCUGCGCGGAAGAUGUAACGGGGCUAAACCAUGCACCGAAGCUGCGGCAGCGAACGUAUCACUUAAAGCGAUUCAGCGGGUUACGAUUGACGGAGCGAAGCGACGUCAAAGCGUAUACAAAGUCGAGUCGGUUUAAGGAUACGUUCGUUGGGUAGGGGAGCGUUCUGUAAGCCUGUGAAGGUGUGCUGUGAGGCAUGCUGGAGGUAUCAGAAGUGCGAAUGCUGACAUAAGUAACGAUAAAGCGGGUGAAAAGCCCGCUCGCCGGAAGACCAAGGGUUCCUGUCCAACGUUAAUCGGGGCAGGGUGAGUCGACCCCUAAGGCGAGGCCGAAAGGCGUAGUCGAUGGGAAACGGGUUAAUAUUCCCGUACUUGGUGUUACUGCGAAGGGGGGACGGAGAAGGCUAUGUUGGCCGGGCGACGGUUGUCCCGGUUUAAGCGUGUAGGUGUGUGUUCCAGGUAAAUCCGGUUCACUUUAACACUGAGGCGUGA
rnacentral:rRNA from 1 species